rnacentral:lncRNA from 1 species
GGUACGUGAUUUUGCGAGCUGGGUCGCUGUGGAACUUGUGGGUCUCAAAUGGGUUCGAGUGUCACCAUUAUUGCCUUACUGGGUUUUCAUGCAUGGACUGGUUCAGUUCCAGGCAGCCGAGUGUGGGGGGCUGUAGGAAGUUCAUGUAGUUUAUAAAUUGUUGCGUCAGUGAGUAACCUACAGGAUUAUACUUUGGGAAUUGUCUCGAUUUACAGCUGCAUGUUGCUUUAUCAUCCUGAGUUUGAUUAAUCACCUGCGAUUGCUGUCUUACUGGGAAGUACUUUGGAAUGUAGGCUUUGAGGAAGACCGCCGGAAAGGGUGCUUUGGGUGCCCGCUGUGACUACAUUGGAUCAUCCACGAACCUGGUAUUGACCAUUCUUGACUAAUACUGUGAUGGAAAGUUGAUUAACUCGGGAUGCGCAAUGUUUGUUUUUGACGUAAGAGCUGGUAGUUUCCAGGAGUCGAUGACUCACUCCUACUGAGUGUGCGUGAGUGUAGUGUUAAUCUUCAGCGUGAUUCGCCGAGAAACAAAUCCGCAUUCUAGGUUGUCAGAUGCUCCCACUUUCGCUGGUCUCGCUGUGGAUAUCUGUCGGAUCAUGUGUUCUUCUAUGUGCAUAUAAUGAAACCUAUCUGACGGGAUUUCAAUGUGCGAUGUUGCAGAUCAUGGUUGCUUCGACCACUUUGAUGCUGUUCGCUGGAAGAUUUGGCCUUGCCCCUUCAGCCAACAGGAAAUCAACCGCUGGACUGAAGCUUGUCGACAGAGAUUCUGGCCUUCAAACU